GCUCUUUGAGCCGGCUCGUUCGCGACCGACACAUCACUAACAACUACCUCUCUGUCUGACUUCGCCAAGCAGAUUCCAAACCAAAGCAAGAUCAAACAGCACUUUUUCUAGUUCUUCUCUUCUCCCUACUCAGAGCUAUAUUCCCUACAUUUCUUCCUGUCUUCUCCCCAUUCUUACCAUCUUCAUCUCUGUCUCUUUACCACUUUCUCUUUUGUAUUUAUAAGCACACACAUACACUAAUUGAUGUUCCUGAAAUGGCUGCUAAACAAGGCGAGGGACAGCUAGAAGACGCCAUUUUCCUUGCCGAUUUACUUUGUAAACAACUAAAGGAGGAAGAAGACAGGGCCAGAGCAGCAUCUAGCAGGAGCAGAAUCCGCUGGGUAGGCAAAGAUGCUCAGGGGUGUCCUCUAAAAAGGAGGAGCAGAAGUGGGGCAACCUGCCGACGUACUAAAG